AGAGUUUGAUCAUGGCUCAGGACGAACGCUGGCGGUGUGCUUAACACAUGCAAGUGGAGCGACGAACCAGGGCUUGCCCUGGGGCAGAGCCGCGAACGGGUGAGUAACACGUGGGUAACCUACCCCGAUGACUGGGACAACCCGAGGAAACUCGGGCUAAUACCGGAUGUCCACGCAGUUCAAGAGAACUGCGCGCAAAGGAAGCUUCGGCCUCCGCAUCGGGAGGGGCCCGCGGCCCAUUAGCUUGUUGGUGGGGUAACGGCCUACCAAGGCUGCGAUGGGUAGCUGGUCUGAGAGGACGAUCAGCCACACUGGGACUGAGACACGGCCCAGACUCCUACGGGAGGCAGCAGUGGGGAAUCUUGCGCAAUGCGCGAAAGCGUGACGCAGCAACACCGCGUGAGGGAAGACGGCCUUCGGGUUGUAAACCUCUUUCAGGAGGGACGAAGGUCGGCCGGUUAACAGCCGUGCCGGCUGACGGUACCUCCACAAGAAGCUCCGGCUAACUACGUGCCAGCAGCCGCGGUAAUACGUAGGGAGCGAGCGUUGUCCGGAAUCAUUGGGCGUAAAGCGCGCGUAGGCGGCCCGAUAAGUCCGCUGUAAAAGUCAACGGCUCAACUGUUGAAAGCCGGUGGAUACUGUCGGGCUAGAGUACGGAAGAGGCAAGUGGAAUUCCUGGUGUAGCGGUGGAAUGCGCAGAUAUCAGGAGGAACACCUAUAGCGAAGGCAGCUUGCUGGGACGUUACUGACGCUAAGGCGCGAAAGCGUGGGGAGCGAACAGGAUUAGAUACCCUAGUAGUCC
rnacentral:rRNA from 1 species